ACGCUGGCGGCACGCCUAACACAUGCAAGUCGAACGAAGUAGCAAUACUUAGUGGCAGACGGGUGAGUAACAUGUAGGUAUCUGCCCUUUGGCCUGGAAUAACACGAGGAAACUUGUGCUAAUACCGGAUAAGUCUUCACGGAGAAAGCUUUAUGCACCAUUGGAUGAGCCUGCACUUGAUUAGUUUGUUGGUAGGGUAAUGGCCUACCAAGACUGUGAUCAAUAGCUGAUUUGAGAGGAUGAUCAGCCACAUUGGGACUGAGACACGGCCCAAACUCCUACGGGAGGCAGCAGUGGGGAAUCUUGCACAAUGGAGGAAACUCUGAUGCAGCGAUGCCGCGUGAGUGAAGAAGGCCUUUGGGUUGUAAAGCUCUUUCGUCGGGGAAGAAAAUGACUGUACCCGAAUAAGAAGGUCCGGCUAACUUCGUGCCAGCAGCCGCGGUAAUACGAAGGGACCUAGCGUAGUUCGGAAUUACUGGGCUUAAAGAGUUCGUAGGUGGUUGAAAAAGUUGGUGGUGAAAUCCCAGAGCUUAACUCUGGAACUGCCAUCAAAACUUUUCAGCUAGAGUAUGAUAGAGGAAAGCAGAAUUUCUAGUGUAGAGGUGAAAUUCGUAGAUAUUAGAAAGAAUACCAAUUGCGAAGGCAGCUUUCUGGAUCAUUACUGACACUGAGGAACGAAAGCAUGGGUAGCGAAGAGGAUUAGAUACCCUCGUAGUCCAUGCCGUAAACGAUGUGUGUUAGACGUUGGAAAUUUAUUUUCAGUGUCGCAGCGAAAGCGAUAAACACACCGCCUGGGGAGUACGACC
rnacentral:rRNA from 1 species